AACGACUCUCGGCAACGGAUAUCUCGGCUCUCGCAUCGAUGAAGAACGUAGCGAAAUGCGAUACUUGGUGUGAAUUGCAGAAUCCCGUGAACCAUCGAGUCUUUGAACGCAAGUUGCGCCCGAAGCCAUUAGGCUCGAGGCGCUCUGCCUGGGCGUCAC
rnacentral:rRNA from 1 species